rnacentral:misc_RNA from 1 species
GGCACAGUAUGAUUCGAUCAAUGUCAAUAAAAAAUGUACACAAUAAAAAAAACCAGAUUUCAAAUACUUAGCAAGUUAAAACAGGUGUUCUUUCUAACAAUACGUAUUUCAGCAUUAAGGUAACUCGAAUGAUUUACUCGUAUAUGUUAAGUUUAAUUAUAUAUAAUCUAGGUUUCAAAACAAAAACAUGUAAAUUAAUGUAGAAAUAUAGUUUCAAUAAUAUUUGUAAUAUGACGCUGCUUUUAUUCCUUUUAUGACGCUUAUAUUCAUAUGAAGCAGAAUUAAUUCAAAAGCUUGUGCAAGGAAAGAAAAAAACACUUGCUGUGGCCUUCAACUCGACAUUUAAAUGUAUUGAUGAUGUUUUAUCUAUUAAGAAAUGUUACUUUUUCUCUUAUAUUAACUCGUAUAUCCCAGUGAGCUCGAAAUAAAAGAUACCACAUAU